rnacentral:rRNA from 1 species
AUGGUGAGCCCAGAUUCCGCAAAAUGGCUUGAAGCCACGAAAUCUGAGAUGGGAUCCAUGUAUGAGAACAAAGUGUGGACUAUGGUUGACUUGCCCGAUGAUCGGCAAGCCAUCGAGAAUAAAUGGAUCUUCAAGAAGAAGACUGGCGCUGAUGGUAAUGUUACUGUCUAUAAAGCUCGACUUGUUGCAAAAGGUUUUCGACAAGUUCAAGGGAUUGACUACGAUGAGACCUUCUCACCCGUAGAGAUGCUUAAGUCUUUCCGAAUCAUGUUAGCAAUUGCUACAUUUUAUGAUUAUGAAAUUUGGCAAAUGGAUGUCAAAACUGCAUUCCUGAAUGGAUUUCUGGAAGAAGAGUUGUAUAUGAUGCAACCGGAAGGUUUUGUCGAUCCAAAGGGAUCUAACAAAGUGUGCAAGCUCCAGCGAUCCAUUUAUGGACUGGUGCAAGCCUCUCGGAGUUGGAAUAAACAUUUUGAUAGUGUGAUCAAAGCAUAUGGUUUUAUGCAGACUUUUGGAGAAGCCUGUAUUUACAAGAAAGUAAGUGGGAGCUCUGUAGCAUUUCUGACAUUACAUGUGGAUGACAUAUUAUUGAUUGGAAAUGAUAUAGAAUUUCUGGAUAGCAUAAAAGGAUAUUUGAAUAAGAGUUUUUCAAUGAAAGACCUUGGUGAAGCUGCUUAUAUAUUGGGCAUCAAGAUCUAUAGAGAUAGAUCGAGACGCUUAAUUGGACUUUCACAAAGCACAUACCUUGACAAAGUUCUGAAGAAGUUCAAAAUGGAUCAAGCAAAGAAAGGGUUCUUGCCUGUGUUACAAGGUGUGAAGUUGAGUAAGACUCAAUGCCCGACCACUGCAGAAGAUAGAGAGAAAAUGAAAGAUGUUCCCUAUGCUUCAGCCAUAGGCUCUAUCAUGUAUGCAAUGCUGUGUACCAGACCUAAUGUGUGCCUUGCUAUUAGUUUAGAAGGGAGGUACCAAAGUAAUCCAUGA